UUGGAAGGGAAACGAUUGAAGUCAGUCGUACCUAUGGGUAAUCAGCCUUUUGGGUGUGAUUUUGUGGAGCGUGAGGAGUUAAACGCCUUCAUGCCUGCAUAUUCGUGCACUUUGGGUGUACUUGCCCGUGUGUAAGUUAACAUCAAUUUUGGUGGUCAUAAAAUGGCUGGAGGAAUGUAGCUUCGAUCUUGUAUUGAAGUGUUAUAGCCUUCGGUAGAUGUGACGAUCGGGAUUGAGGAUUGCAACGGAUACCCUUCGGGGCUACCUGUCUGAUCUCUGAUUGUUGCUCUGGUGCCGAAAGCAUGCUUACGGUUAUCAAAGUCGAUGGUCAAUAGGUUAGAAUGGGUUAAAUUCGUUAAG
rnacentral:rRNA from 1 species